GCGAGCUGUAAUAUGACAAGCAACGCGAGCGUGAGUCCAAGAUGCUUAAAUUGUAUUCAAAUGCAGUUACCGCACAAGUGCGUGAAGGUGUAGAACGUUCUGCGUGUUUAAUUUGUGCAGUUUUUUUCUUUUUCGUGCAUGUACACUUAUUUUAUUUGACUAGUAACAUUUAAGUUCGUAUUCAACUUCACUUAAUGGAAGAGUUGCAGUUGACACUGGCAAUAUGCAGAAUAUUUUAAUAA